rnacentral:ncRNA from 1 species
GCCGACCCUGAUCUUCUGUGAAGGGUUCGAGUUGGAGCACGCCUGUCGGGACCCGAAAGAUGGUGAACUUGGCCUGAGCGGGGCGAAGCCAGAGGAAACUCUGGUGGAGGCUCGAAGCGAUACUGACGUGCAAAUCGUUCGUCUGACUUGGGUAUAGGGGCGAAAGACUAAUCGAACCAUCUAGUAGCUGGUUCCCUCCGAAGUUUCCCUCAGGAUAG